UCCAGACUCCUACGGGAGGCAGCAGUGGGGAAUAUUGCACAAUGGGGGAAACCCUGAUGCAGCGACGCCGCGUGAGUGAAGAAGUAUUUCGGUAUGUAAAGCUCUAUCAGCAGGGAAGAAAAUGACGGUACCUGACUAAGAAGCCCCGGCUAACUACGUGCCAGCAGCCGCGGUAAUACGUAGGGGGCAAGCGUUAUCCGGAUUUACUGGGUGUAAAGGGGGCGCAGACGGCGAUGCAAGCCAGGAGUGAAAGCCCGGGGCCCAACCCCGGGACUGCUCUUGGAACUGCGUGGCUGGAGUGCAGGAGGGGCAGGCGGAAUUCCUGGUGUAGCGGUGAAAUGCGUAGAUAUCAGGAGGAACACCAGUGGCGAAGGCGGCCUGCUGGGCUUUUACUGACGCUGGGGCUCGAAAGUGUGGGGAGCAAACAGGAUUAGAUACCCCAGUACCA
rnacentral:rRNA from 1 species